GGAUUAGAUACCCUGGUAGUCCACGCCGUAAACGAUGUCAAUUAGCCGUUGGGAAUCUUGUAUUCUUAGUGGCGCAGCUAACGCGAUAAAUUGACCGCCUGGGGAGUACGGCCGCAAGGUUAAAACUCAAAUGAAUUGACGGGGGCCCGCACAAGCGGUGGAGCAUGUGGUUUAAUUCGAUGCAACGCGAAGAACCUUACCAGGUCUUGACAUCCUGAGAACUUUCUAGAGAUAGAUUGGUGCCUUCGGGAACUCAGUGACAGGUGCUGCAUGGCUGUCGUCAGCUCGUGCCG
rnacentral:rRNA from 1 species